GACAGAGGAUGCAAGCGUUAUCCGGAAUGAUUGGGCGUAAAGCGUCUGUAGGUGGCUUUUUUAAGUCCGCCGUCAAAUCCCAGGGCUUAACCCUGAACAUGCGGUGGAAACUAGAAAGCUUGAGUACAGUAGGGGCGGAGGGAAUUUCCGGUGGAGCGGUGAAAUGCAUAGAUAUCGGGAAGAACACCAACGCGAAAGCACUCCGCUGGGCUGAUACUGACACUGACAGACGAAAAGCUAGGGGUAGCGAAAAGGG
rnacentral:rRNA from 1 species